rnacentral:rRNA from 1 species
UAGGGAAUCUUCGGCAAUGGACGAAAGUCUGACCGAGCAACGCCGCGUGAGUGAAGAAGGUUUUCGGAUCGUAAAACUCUGUUGUUAGAGAAGAACAAGGACGUUAGUAACUGAACGUCCCCUGACGGUAUCUAACCAGAAAGCCACGGCUAACUACGUGCCAGCAGCCGCGGUGAUACGUAGGUGGCAAGCGUUGUCCGGAUUUAUUGGGCGUAAAGCGAGCGCAGGCGGUUUCUUAAGUCUGAUGUGAAAGCCCCCGGCUCAACCGGGGAGGGUCAUUGGAAACUGGGAGACUUGAGUGCAGAAGAGGAGAGUGGAAUUCCAUGUGUAGCGGUGAAAUGCGUAGAUAUAUGGAGGAACACCAGUGGCGAAGGCGGCUCUCUGGUCUGUAACUGACGCUGAGGCUCGAAAGCGUGGGGAGCAAACAGG